rnacentral:rRNA from 1 species
GGAAUAUUGGUCAAUGGACGAGAGUCUGAACCAGCCAAGUAGCGUGCAGGAUGACGGCCCUAUGGGUUGUAAACUGCUUUUAUACGGGGAUAAAGUGACCCACGUGUGGGUUUUUGUAGGUACCGUAUGAAUAAGGACCGGCUAAUUCCGUGCCAGCAGCCGCGGUAAUACGGAAGGUCCGGGCGUUAUCCGGAUUUAUUGGGUUUAAAGGGAGCGCAGGCGGAAGGUUAAGCGUGACGUGAAAUGUACCGGCUCAACCGGUGAUGUGCGUCGCGAACUGGCUUUCUUGAGUGCGUACGAGGAAGGCGGAAUUCGUGGUGUAGCGGUGAAAUGCUUAGAUAUCACGAAGAACUCCGAUUGCGCAGGCAGCCUUCCAGUCCGUUACUGACGCUACAGCUCGAAGGUGCGGGUAUCGAACA